CAACCGGGAUGGAGACCAGGCGGCGGGGGCGGCUUUCUUUUUCAGGCCUGGAGCUGCCGGGUGAUUGAAGGAGAAGCCCCCCCUCGCCCCCCCCACCUCCGCCGUCCAUGGCGCGGAGGGCCCAGCAAAUUCCUUUUUACUCCAAUCAACUUUGUGACAGACACACCCAGGAUGUUAACUGGUUUCCUCUGGGACACAUGAGUAAACUUUUGAUCAAACCAAGCGCCUACUGCAUAAUCUACAUGCCUGUUUAGAUAACUGGUACUUAACUGAGAAACAUUUGAUGUAUAGACAUAAAAUUCAACUAGAUUACUUUAUUGACAGGUGACAUUUUGAAAGGAUUGUGGAGGAAGUGGGCCAGGAGAAAAAAAAAAUCUGUCACUUGCAUUAAGAUAGACAUUGAUUUCAUAUGAUGAAAUACUGCAAACGGCUGCCUUGAUUGGAGCUUCAUGUGCUGGAAGGUUGAAGCAUGUAAAACUAUAAAAGUACUCAGCAAUGUGGUUCAAAUUAAAAUCAUGUGGUUCAUAA